rnacentral:tRNA from 1 species
ACUCGAUUAGCUCAGUUGGCUAGAGCACCACCUUGACAUGGUGGGGGUCAGUGGUUCAAGUCCACUAUCGGGUACCA